UAGCCUAGAUGUUAAGGCUAUGGAUCGCCAAUCCGGAGACGGCGGGUUCGAUUCCCGU
rfam:Aedes albopictus isolate Foshan contig104830, whole genome shotgun sequence.